rnacentral:rRNA from 1 species
UACGGAGGAUCCAAGCGUUAUCCGGAAUCAUUGGGUUUAAAGGGUCCGUAGGUGGACUGUUAAGUCAGGGGUGAGAGUCUGCAGCUCAACUGUAGAAUUGCCCUUGAUACUGGUAGUCUUGAGUUAUUAUGAAGUGGUUAGAAUAUGUGGUGUAGCGGUGAAAUGCAUAGAUAUCACAUAGAAUACCGAUUGCGAAGGCAGAUCACUAAUAAUACACUGACACUGAUGGACGAAAGCGUGGGUAGCGAACAGG